rnacentral:lncRNA from 1 species
AAUAGAUUUCUCCUCUUUAGAAAGAAUGCAUAAAUCAAUAGUUAAACGAGGAAAAGGAAAAUUAUGUUUAUCAUAAUAGUAUAAGAAAAAAGGCAUUUAAAAGAAGUUUAGAAAUAAGACUACACAGACUUCAUUAUUAAUAUAUUAUUGUUAUUAUUAGUAUUAAAAAUUCAUUCAAACAUUUCUCUCAUACUUUUCCUGCCCACAGAUUAGAUGUAAAAAUGUCUUAACUGAGCUUAAGGGCAAAGAACGGGCACUUGGCUUUGCUACUGCCUGGCUGUGUGAUCUUGGACAAGACACUGUUCCUCUCCGGGGCUCAGAUUCCUCACCUGAAAAGCCAGAAUCCUAUACUUUCUUUCAACUCUGACAUGCUAUUAAUACAAUUCCAGAUGCUACCAAGGCUGCACAUCCAGCCCUCUGCCUCCUUUGGGAUGGAAACAGUAAAGAAAAUACAAUUUAGAGAGGCAUAUUGAAACAAGGAAUCAUACAAAUAGGCAGCCAAUGACAUCCCAGGAAGGAAAGAGAAGAGUCAACUAUGACUUCACCUAUGAUGUCAUUAAGGCCUUAGGACUUUACAAACAUGGAAUUGUACCAACACAGACUUUUACAAAUAUAGGCUGAUUCAUACCAGAAUAUAGGUGUGACUUGAAGAAAGUAACUGAAAUUCUUAAAAAGGAUGCCUGUUGAAGGUGGUGGGGGGAGGGAGGUUGGAGGACAUAGAAGAAGUUAGAUUUUAAAGGUUAAAAAUGAGUAGCAGAAUGAGUAGCAGAAAGCAGCAAGAGACAGUAAGAAUUUGAAAACCAAGUGGUCACUGAAAGCAAUGGUAGAUGAGAGUACAGGCAAAAGCAUUUUUAAGUCUGGAAAAAAAUCUCAAAUCCUCUUAAAUGUGGUCAGGAAGAGACACAGCAAACGCUAAAUUAGUCAAGGGCAGAGGAGCAGGAAGUUUACCAGGGAGAAGGGAUGGCCUGGUAUGAAUAGGUAUAAAAGGACCUCUCCAACAUGAGAUCAAGGUAGUUCUCUAAAUGGCUUCGAGCUUGCAUUAGUGGGAUUAUCCUUGGUUAAUUUUAGGAAAAUCAAAACCCACUACUUGUCCUACAUGCUUGGAAUCCAAGGUACACACAUAAAGAAUUCAUAAAACAUAGGAAAGUGUGCAUGAGGCCCAAUUUCUAAGUCACCUACUGCUCGUGCUUAAUGUCCUUUAUCCUACGAUGGCUGCCAGUGAGGAGGAAGCACAUUACAGCAAAUCCACCAAGUCUGGGAGGACACACCUUCCACCUUCCCCCAUGCCUAACAAAUGCUAAAAAUAAAGAGAAAUAAAAGAAUAUUUAUGCAAAAAACAACUUUUCCUAACUCCUUAAAAAAUAAAUGACCUCUAACUGAGAAACACUGUGCUUGUCACAGGCUUUCAGUGACCAUAAUAAAGCUCCAAGUUUAAAUCUUCAGUGAGUUGAAGCAAGGUAAGGAUGGAAAACAACCACACCAUCCCCCUUUCCCAGAAGGUGAUCUAGGCAGAGAAAGACAGAGCAGAUCUCCAAAAACUGACUUACUCAGCGAUGAAAAGAACCAUGUGCAGUGACCAAUAUCCAGCUGUUUGCCUAUGAACAGGUCCUCUAUGGGACAAAACUCCAAAACCACUAUGAGGAAUGACCAAAGAAUCUACCCCAGAGACAGGCUGGCUAGUAACUGAAACCACAGCCUUCUUAGCCAGUCGUCCCAAACUAAUACAUUCUAGCUACUUCAUGUACCUGAUGCAACCAAGUGCUAGAACACCUUUAUUCUAAGAAUGUGCCCAUCCAAUAGAAAGUCAGUGCCAUUUUAAUUUCAGUUA